rnacentral:rRNA from 1 species
UACGUAGGGUGCAAGCGUUAAUCGGAAUUACUGGGCGUAAAGCGUGCGCAGGCGGUUUUGUAAGUUUGUCGUGAAAGCCCCGGGCUCAACCUGGGAAUUGCGAUGAAGACUGCAAGGCUUGAAUCUGGCAGAGGGGGGGUAGAAUUCCACGUGUAGCAGUGAAAUGCGUAGAGAUGUGGAGGAAUACCAAUGGCGAAGGCAGCCCCCUGGGAUAAUAUUGACGCUCAUGCACGAAAGCGUGGGGAGCAAACAGG